rnacentral:rRNA from 1 species
AGAUUAAGUUAUUAAGGGCGCACGGUGGAUGCCUUGGCACUAGAAGCCGAAGAAGGACGUUACUAACGACGAUAUGCUUUGGGGAGCUGUAAGUAAGCGUUGAUCCAGAGAUUUCCGAAUGGGGAAACCCAACAUGAGUUAUGUCAUGUUAUCGAUAUGUGAAUACAUAGCAUAUCAGAAGGCAGACCCGGAGAACUGAAACAUCUUAGUACCCGGAGGAAGAGAAAGAAAAAUCGAUUCCCUGAGUAGCGGCGAGCGAAACGGGAAGAGCCCAAACCAACAAGCUUGCUUGUUGGGGUUGUAGGACACUCUAUACGGAGUUACAAAAGUAUAUAUUAGACGAAUCAUCUGGAAAGUUGAAUCAAAGAAGGUAAUAAUCCUGUAGUCGAAAAUAUAUACUCUCUUGAGUGGAUCCUGAGUACGACGGAGCACGUGAAAUUCCGUCGGAAUCUGGGAGGACCAUCUCCUAAGGCUAAAUACUCUCUAGUGACCGAUAGUGAACCAGUACCGUGAGGGAAAGGUGAAAAGUACCCCGGAAGGGGAGUGAAAGAGAACUUGAAACCGUGUGCUUACAAGUAGUCAGAGCCCGUUAAUGGGUGAUGGCGUGCCUUUUGUAGAAUGAACCGGCGAGUUACGAUUUGAUGCAAGGUUAAGCAGUGAAUGUGGAGCCGUAGCGAAAGCGAGUCUGAAUAGGGCGUUGAGUAUUUGGUCGUAGACCCGAAACCAGGUGAUCUACCCUUGGUCAGGUUGAAGUUCAGGUAACACUGAAUGGAGGACCGAACCGACUUACGUUGAAAAGUGAGCGGAUGAACUGAGGGUAGCGGAGAAAUUCCAAUCGAACCUGGAGAUAGCUGGUUCUCUCCGAAAUAGCUUUAGGGCUAGCCUCAAGUGAUGAUUAUUGGAGGUAGAGCACUGUUUGGACGAGGGGCCCUUCUCGGGUUACCGAAUUCAGACAAACUCCGAAUGCCAAUCAAUUUAACUUGGGAGUCAGAACAUGGGUGAUAAGGUCCGUGUUCGAAAGGGAAACAGCCCAGACCACCAGCUAAGGUCCCAAAAUAUAUGUUAAGUGGAAAAGGAUGUGGCGUUGCCCAGACAACUAGGAUGUUGGCUUAGAAGCAGCCAUCAUUUAAAGAGUGCGUAAUAGCUCACUAGUCGAGUGACACUGCGCCGAAAAUGUACCGGGGCUAAACAUAUUACCGAAGCUGUGGAUUGUCCGUAGGACAAUGGUAGGAGAGCGUUCUAAGGGCGUUGAAGCAUGAUCGCAAGGACAUGUGGAGCGCUUAGAAGUGAGAAUGCCGGUGUGAGUAGCGAAAGACGGGUGAGAAUCCCGUCCACCGAUUGACUAAGGUUUCCAGAGGAAGGCUCGUCCGCUCUGGGUUAGUCGGGUCCUAAGCUGAGGCCGACAGGCGUAGGCGAUGGAUAACAGGUUGAUAUUCCUGUACCACCUAGUAUCGUUUUAAUCGAUGGGGGGACGCAGUAGGAUAGGCGAAGCGUGCUAUUGGAUUGCACGUCCAAGCAGUAAGACUGAGUGUUAGGCAAAUCCGGCACUCAUAAGGUUAAGCUGUGAUGGGGAGAGGAAAUUGUUUCCUCGAGUCGUUGAUUUCACACUGCCAAGAAAAGCCUCUAGAUAGAUAACAGGUGCCCGUACCGCAAACCGACACAGGUAGUCAAGAUGAGAAUUCUAAGGUGAGCGAGCGAACUCUCGUUAAGGAACUCGGCAAAAUGACCCCGUAACUUCGGGAGAAGGGGUGCUCUUUAGGGUUAACGCCCAGAAGAGCCGCAGUGAAUAGGCCCAAGCGACUGUUUAUCAAAAACACAGGUCUCUGCUAAACCGUAAGGUGAUGUAUAGGGGCUGACGCCUGCCCGGUGCUGGAAGGUUAAGAGGAGUAGUUAGCUUCUGCGAAGCUACGAAUCGAAGCCCCAGUAAACGGCGGCCGUAACUAUAACGGUCCUAAGGUAGCGAAAUUCCUUGUCGGGUAAGUUCCGACCCGCACGAAAGGCGUAACGAUUUGGGCACUGUCUCAACGAGAGACUCGGUGAAAUCAUAGUACCUGUGAAGAUGCAGGUUACCCGCGACAGGACGGAAAGACCCCGUGGAGCUUUACUGUAGCCUGAUAUUGAAAUUCGGCACAGCUUGUACAGGAUAGGUAGGAGCCUUUGAAACGUGAGCGCUAGCUUACGUGGAGGCAUUGGUGGGAUACUACCCUAGCUGUGUUGGCUUUCUAACCCGCACCACUUAUCGUGGUGGGAGACAGUGUCAGGUGGGCAGUUUGACUGGGGCGGUCGCCUCCUAAAAGGUAACGGAGGCGCUCAAAGGUUCCCUCAGAAUGGUUGGAAAUCAUUCAUAGAGUGUAAAGGCAUAAGGGAGCUUGACUGCGAGACUUACAAGUCGAGCAGGGUCGAAAGACGGACUUAGUGAUCCGGUGGUUCCGCAUGGAAGGGCCAUCGCUCAACGGAUAAAAGCUACCCCGGGGAUAACAGGCUUAUCUCCCCCAAGAGUUCACAUCGACGGGGAGGUUUGGCACCUCGAUGUCGGCUCAUCGCAUCCUGGGGCUGUAGUCGGUCCCAAGGGUUGGGCUGUUCGCCCAUUAAAGCGGUACGCGAGCUGGGUUCAGAACGUCGUGAGACAGUUCGGUCCCUAUCCGUCGUGGGCGUAGGAAAUUUGAGAGGAGCUGUCCUUAGUACGAGAGGACCGGGAUGGACAUACCUCUGGUGUACCAGUUGUCGUGCCAACGGCAUAGCUGGGUAGCUAUGUAUGGACGGGAUAAGUGCUGAAAGCAUCUAAGCAUGAAGCCCCCCUCAAGAUGAGAUUUCCCAACUUCGGUUAUAAGAUCCCUCAAAGAUGAUGAGGUUAAUAGGUUCGAGGUGGAAGCGUGGUGACACGUGGAGCUGACGAAUACUAAUCGAUCGAAGACUUAAUCAAUUU